CCCUUUUAUCCUCACCGAAAUCUAUACAUCUCGAUUCCGACUCCGACAAACAGAUUGAGCGCUGUGUUGAUCAGCUCCAUCCAUGCGUCAUACGCCUCCCAGGAAUUCUUGCGAAUCCUUGAUCUGAAUUGGCGAGCCACCGAGUCUUGUAGGAAUCGUCUCAGUGGUAGAUAUAGGGAUAGGAAUGAGUUUAUGACAAUGAGGAUUUGGAACCCUCAUUGGCUAUACCUGUAAUGGUUUUAACAAAGCCUUCAGUAACGUCAUGGGUAGUAUGGGGACUGAUCAAGUGAAAGUGGACAUCUACUCCAACUUACCCUUCCAAAUUGUAGGGGUGUCACUGUCCUCGUAGAGGCCGAAAAACAUGACUCUACUUGAGUUUCGUGUCCUCGGUCGUUUGUCUACAAGUGUACUUGGAGCACUAGAUUCAGUUGUUGGCACUGCUGAGCUCGAGAGUUUGAAAAGACCAAGCUGCUUGGGGUUAUGCAUUUUGCCUACUCAAAGGGCUACGCCUUUUAUAUCUUUCCAAGCUCUAUGAGCUGACUCAUCUUUCUGACACUUUCACUAUUACCAUCAUCGGCUCUCCUUCCUAGCGCCUUCUCGCACGGUCCUCUUAUGCUUCCUUUCACCUCCUUCCUUCCCUCCGCUCGGACCUCUCUCCUCCCUAGCGUCUCCGCGCACGGUCCUCUUACGCUUCCUUUCGCCUUCUUCCUCCCCCCUUUCUCUCCUCUGCACCCCGAAACUACUUCUCCUUCUCCGUCUCGUCGUCCUCUCAGCACUUUUAAUACUUUUAGUGGGCAUAUACAUUUUAUCUUGUUUGGUACCUUUUAUCGUGUGAAGCCCUACUGUGCUCUCUGUCAUCGGUAAAGAGUACGAACCAGAGCUGAAACCGAUAACAAACAAAGGAUUGCAGGUUGCUUUGCCAUUUUUACUGAAAGAAGCAUGCAGAAACUAACUGAUCUAG
rnacentral:sRNA from 1 species